GGUUCACAGCCGAGGAAUCAUCCUGUUGGGAAAGUUGCAGCCUGUAAACCUGUUGUAAAAUAAACCUCUAUCACCAGCAUAAUAUAACAACAGCAAGUACUGAAGAUACACAAUGAGCCUCAAGCAAUGAUAGAUCAAAAAUAAAAUCAAUAAGAACCAUG